AGAGGGUGCGAGCGUUAAUCGGAAUUACUGGGCGUAAAGGGCGCGUAGGCGGUCAUGUAAGUUGGAUGUGAAAUCCCUGGGCUUAACCUAGGAACUGCAUCCAAGACUGUGUGACUAGAGUGCUGUAGAGGGUAGUGGAAUUUCCGGUGUAGCGGUGAAAUGCGUAGAUAUCGGAAGGAACACCAGUGGCGAAGGCGGCUACCUGGACAGACACUGACGCUGAGGCGCGAGAGCGUGGGGAGCAAACAGGAUUAGAUACCCUGGUAGUCCACGCUGUAAACGAUGAGAACUAGAUGUUGGUAGGCAUGACCUAUUAGUAUCGUAGCUAACGCGAUAAGUUCUCCGCCUGGGGAGUACGGCCGCAAGG
rnacentral:rRNA from 1 species